rnacentral:lncRNA from 10 species
CUCAAGCCUCAGCAAUGGCGGAUGCCCCUUCCCAGCCUCGCUGCCGCCUGGCAGUUCAAUCUCAGACUGUUGCGCUAGCAGUGAGUGAGGCUCCAUGGGCGUGAGACCCUCUGAGCUAGGUGAGGCGAUGCCCCACCCUGCUCCGUGGGCUGCACCCACUGUCUGACAAGCCCCAGUGAGAUGAACCCGGUGCCUCAGUUGGAAAUGCAAAAAUCACCCAUCUUCUGUGUUGCUUACGCUGGGAGCUGCAGACUACAGCUAUUCCUAUUCAGCCAUCUUGGAACCUCCAUCUGGCAUUUUCCAAGUAUAAUUUAGCCUACCAGUGUUGACAUGGAAUAUACAUGAAUGGAUCCGAUCCAGUAGCCCACACUGCAUUUAGUUAUUGUGCUUUCUUCAUCCUCCAUCCUUCAUCUGUGACAGUUCCUCAGUAUUUUCUUGAGUUUCAUGACUAUUGUCAUGGUAGUGAAUUGUUUU